CCUCCCUGUCCGCCACCGCCACCGCCGUCACUACCUCACCACCACCCACUUCCACCACCACCCACCACCUCCACCACCUCAACAACAACCACCACAGCCGCCACCACGACACAAGCCACCAGCACCAGCAUCUGGAGCGACCCAGGCUUCGUGGCGGUGUUUGCUAUCCUGAUGUCGUUGUUGGGGCUGCUGCUGAUUGCCGGCAUCUGGUAUCUGUGUACACGGUCUGGCAGCAGCUUCGGCAACAUGUUCGGUCCUCGCUAUGAAAAGCCGCCGACACGAGUUCGUCCUGUCCGGGAAUACGAGGAGGUCCACAGCAGAGACAACCUCAUAAGACAAAGGAACCGCGUACUAUCUCCGAAUUACCGUGAACUAGCCUGGCGUUCAGUAGG